AGCGAACGCUGGCGGCAUGCUUAACACAUGCAAGUCGCACGGGCAGGGGCAACUCUGUCAGUGGCGGACGGGUGAGUAACGCGUAGGUAUCUAUCCUUGGGUGGGGGACAACCGUGGGAAACUACGGCUAAUACCGCAUGAUGACCGAGGUCCAAAGCAGCAAUGCGCCUGGGGAGGAGCCUGCGUACGAUUAGCUAGUUGGUGGGGUAAAGGCCUACCAAGGCUAGAUCGUUAGCUGGUCUGAGAGGAUGAUCAGCCACAUUGGGACUGAGACACGGCCCAAACUCCUACGGGAGGCAGCAGUGGGGAAUAUUGGACAAUGGGCGCAAGCCUGAUCCAGCAAUGCCGCGUGUGUGAAGAAGGUCUUCGGAUUGUAAAGCACUUUCGGACGGGGACGAUGAUGACGGUACCCGUAGAAGAACGCCCCGGCUAACUUCGUGCCAGCCGCCGCGGU
rnacentral:rRNA from 1 species